GAUGAACGCUGGCGGCGUGCCUAAUACAUGCAAGUCGAGCGAACAGACGAGGAGCUUGCUCCUCUGACGUUAGCGGCGGACGGGUGAGUAACACGUGGAUAACCUACCUAUAAGACUGGGAUAACUUCGGGAAACCGGAGCUAAUACCGGAUAAUAUAUUGAACCGCAUGGUUCAAUAGUGAAAGACGGUUUUGCUGUCACUUAUAGAUGGAUCCGCGCCGCAUUAGCUAGUUGGUAAGGUAACGGCUUACCAAGGCAACGAUGCGUAGCCGACCUGAGAGGGUGAUCGGCCACACUGGAACUGAGACACGGUCCAGACUCCUACGGGAGGCAGCAGUAGGGAAUCUUCCGCAAUGGGCGAAAGCCUUACGGAGCAACGCCGCGUGAGUGAUGAAGGUCUUCGGAUCGUAAAACUCUGUUAUUAGUGAAGAACAAAUUUGUAAGUAACUAUGCACGUCUUGACGGUACCUAAUCAGAAAGCCACGGCUAACUACGUG
rnacentral:rRNA from 1 species